ACAAUGAAGAGUUUGAUCCUGGCUCAGGAUGAACGCUAGCUACAGGCUUAACACAUGCAAGUCGAGGGGCAGCAUGGUCUUAGCUUGCUAAGGCCGAUGGCGACCGGCGCACGGGUGAGUAACACGUA
rnacentral:rRNA from 1 species